rnacentral:rRNA from 1 species
GUGGGGAAUAUUGCACAAUGGAGGGAACUCUGAUGCAGCGAUGCCGCGUGGAGGAAGAAGGUUUUCGGAUUGUAAACUCCUUUUAUCAGGGACGAUAAUGACGGUACCUGAAGAAAAAGCUCCGGCUAACUACGUGCCAGCAGCCGCGGUAAUACGUAGGGAGCGAGCGUUGUCCGGAAUUACUGGGUGUAAAGGGAGCGUAGGCGGGAUAGCAAGUCAGAUGUGAAAACUAUGGGCUCAACCUGUAGAUUGCAUUUGAAACUGUUGUUCUUGAGUGAAGUAGAGGUAAGCGGAAUUCCUAGUGUAGCGGUGAAAUGCGUAGAUAUUAGGAGGAACAUCGGUGGCGAAGGCGGCUUACUGGGCUUUUACUGACGCUGAGGCUCGAAAGCGUGGGGAGCAAACAGGAUUAGAAACCCUAGUAGUCC